GAGAGCCCCGCUGAGGGCUCCGCUGCCGGCUCCGCUGCCGCCCGGGCCCGGUGGAUGCCACCCGCCGCUCUUCCGCCUCCCUGUUCCGGCUGCCUCUUUCGGCUCCUCUGUGCUUUUUCCGCUGCAAAUCGUCCGGGGGCUUCGCCGCCGCGCCGUACUGGCGGGGACCCCCCCCGCCGGUGGGGAUGUGUUUCACGCUCCGGUGUGCAGCCGCGGUGCCGGUCUCCUAGCGGGGUACCGGCCAGCGGGUGCGGGAUGGAGCGGCCGGGUCUUUUUCCGAGCGCCGCGGGCAGCGGCAGCGGCUCCGGAGCGGUGCCGUGGGACCGCCGCAUUCCCGCAGCGGGCUCCAUCCCGAGCACCGGGAAGCGCCCGGGAGGUCCCGGCCGGAGGAGGAUGCGGCACCUCGGGGUGAGCCUUUGGAUGGGGGAAAAAGGGGAGGGUGACCCCCAAAAUCUCACCCCGUCUGUCCCUUUCCGAGCCAGCCCUGCUCUUCCAGCAUUUCUUUGGAGCAUUUGAUUCUAAUUAUCCGCGGAAUUCAGCCUUCUAAUUGCAACUGGGGGGGGGGAAAAUAAAAGCAGCUCCCCAAAUUCAAGUUUUUUCUGCUACUUUCCCCCGGAAAAAUAGAGUCACGUAUAAGAUUGACAGGGGAAAAAUAAGAAAUUGGGCUUCAAGCAUUCCAGCGUUUAAAAAGUACCAGGAACGUGGUGGUUUUUGUUUAAUUACUGUGAUGUGUAAUAAAUAAACCGUAUGCUUUGAAUUUAAAUGUGUUUAAAUGUGCCCAAACAUCCGUCUGCUUUCUAUGUGAAAAUUAACUUGUUCUCUCAAAUGGCAAAGCAGGAUUUAAUUUUA